CACGAACCGUACGAACGUUAUUCGGAAUUACUGGACUUAAAGGGUUUGUAGGCGGCCUUGUAAGUCAGGUGUGAAAGCCCUCGGCUCAACCGAGGAACAGCGCUUGAUACUGCAAGGCUUGAGGGAGACAGGGGUAAGCGGAACUGAUGGUGGAGCGGUGAAAUGCGUUGAUAUCAUCAGGAACACCGGUGGCGAAAGCGGCUUACUGGGUCUCUUCUGACGCUGAGGAACGAAAGCUAGGGUAGCGAACGGG
rnacentral:rRNA from 1 species